rnacentral:rRNA from 1 species
GAUGAACGCUGGCGGCGUGCCUAAUACAUGCAAGUCGAGCGAACAGAUGAGGAGCUUGCUCCUCUGACGUUAGCGGCGGACGGGUGAGUAACACGUGGAUAACCUACCUAUAAGACUGGGAUAACUUCGGGAAACCGGAGCUAAUACCGGAUAAUAUAUUGAACCGCAUGGUUCAAUAGUGAAAGACGGUUUUGCUGUCACUUAUAGAUGGAUCCGCGCCGCAUUAGCUAGUUGGUAAGGUAACGGCUUACCAAGGCAACGAUGCGUAGCCGACCUGAGAGGGUGAUCGGCAACACUGGAACUGAGACACGGUCCAGACUCCUACGGGAGGCAGCAGUAGGGAAUCUUCCGCAACGGGCGAAAGCCUGACGGAGCAACGCCGCGUGAGUGAUGAAGGUCUUCGGAUCGUAAAACUCUGUUAUUAGGGAAGAACAAAUGUGUAAGUAACUAUGCACGUCUUGACGGUACCUAAUCAGAAAGCCACGGCUAACUACGUG